ACAAUGAAAAGUCAGCAGUCUGCAACCUGGAAGAGGGUCCUCACCAGAACCUGACCAGGCUGGCACACCCAUCUCAGACUUCCAGCCUCCAGAGGCUGGUCUGCGAUUUGCUUUGGCUGACAGAAUAUGAUGAAGUGAUGUUAUAUGGGUUCCUUACUCAGCCUUUAAGUGGACUUGCAGCUACUGCUCUCUACUCCACACUGCUACCACCAUCUGAAGAACCCUACAGUAGGAGACACUUGGCCCAGAUAAUCACAAAGAAAAAGAGUAUGCAGUGAGAAGGACAAGUCUCAUAACCACAUGUUGUUAAUGAAGAAGCUGAGGCACCAAGCGACUUAAGGAUUUGACCAAAAUCAGACAGCAGCAGAUUCAAAGAUAAUGCCAGCUCCUCAUCUUCGUUUCUGGUGCUGUUUACACCGUGAUACUUCAACACUGAAAGAAACACCUAUCAAUUCUCGUACAACUUUAAAGAUGCAUUCUUACUGU
rnacentral:lncRNA from 1 species